GACAGAGGGGGCAAGCGUUGUUCGGAAUUACUGGGCGUAAAGGGCGCGUAGGCGGCCUUCUAAGUCGAACGUGAAAUCCCCGGGCUCAACCCGGGAACUGCGUCCGAUACUGGGAGGCUUGAAUCCGGGAGAGGGAUGUGGAAUUCCAGGUGUAGCGGUGAAAUGCGCAGAUAUCAGGAGGAACACCGGUGGCGAAGGCGGGUCUCUGGGCCGAUACUGACGCUGAGGAGCGAAAGCGUGGGGAGCGAACAGG
rnacentral:rRNA from 1 species